rnacentral:rRNA from 1 species
GACGGACGCUGGCGGCGUGCCUAAUACAUGCAAGUCGAGCGGACAGAAGGGAGCUUGCUCCCGGAAGUUAGCGGCGGACGGGUGAGUAACGCGUGGGCAACCUACCCUGUAGAUCGGGAUAACAUCGAGAAAUCGGUGCUAAUACCGGAUAAUCAUUUGAAGUGCAUGCUUCGAAUGUAAAAGAUGGCUCCGGCUAUCACUACGGGAUGGGCCCGCGGCGCAUUAGCUAGUUGGUAAGGUAAUGGCUUACCAAGGCAACGAUGCGUAGCCGACCUGAGAGGGUGAUCGGCCACACGGGGACAGAGACACGGCCCAGACUCCUACGGGAGGCAGCAGUAGGGAAUCUUCCGCAAUGGACGAAAGUCUGACGGAGCAACGCCGCGUGAGUGAUGAAGGUUUUCGGAUCGUAAAGCUCUGUUGUUAGGGAAGAACAAGUGCCGUUUGAAUAAGGCGGCACCUUGACGGUACCUAACCAGAAAGCCACGGCUAACUACGUGCCAGCCGCCGCGGUAAAAC